rnacentral:rRNA from 1 species
AACGAACGCUGGCGGCAUGCCUAACACAUGCCAGUCGAACGAUCCCUUCGGGGAUAGUGGCGCACGGGUGCGUAACGCGUGGGAACCUGCCCUUAGGUUCGGAAGAACUCAGAGAAAUUUGAGCUAAUACCGGAUAAUGUCUUCGGACCAAAGAUUUAUCGCCUUUGGAUGGGCCCGCGUUGGAUUAGCUAGUUGGUGGGGUAAAGGCCUACCAAGGCGACGAUCCAUAGCUGGUCUGAGAGGAUGAUCAGCCACACUGGGACUGAGACACGGCCCAGACUCCUACGGGAGGCAGCAGUGGGGAAUAUUGGACAAUGGGCGAAAGCCUGAUCCAGCAAUGCCGCGUGAGUGAUGAAGGCCUUAGGGUUGUAAAGCUCUUUUACCCGGGAUGAUAAUGACAUUACCGGGAGAAUAAGCCCCGGCUAACUCCGUG